rnacentral:tRNA from 1 species
GGCCUCGUAGUUCAACUGAAUAGAAUACCUGAUUACGGCUCAGGCGGUUACAGGUUUGAAUCCUGUCGAGGUCA